GCCGAGCCUAGGGUCACGCUCCAGGUAGCAGGUUGGAUCGAAGCCUCCCUAGUGCCUCAGAGACUGCAGAAACCAUACCAACUCACCUACUGAAAAACAUCAGCCCUCGCUUCGGGCUGCCAAACUCCAUACAAUCAGACAACAAGCCGGCUUUCAUCUCCAAGGUCACUGAAGCGGUCUAGGUCUCUCUUGGCAUCAAAUGGAAACUACAUGCGUCCUAUCACCCCCAGUCCUCGGAGUCCUCAUUGCUUGACCUGCAGGAUGGGUCAAGUGGCACCCAACGUGGGGUGCCAGCAUGGAAUAUCCAGUGAAGGACGCUGUUCGAGUGGCUGGCAGAAAGGAAAGCAAAGAAAAAGAAAGAAAAAGAAAAGAGGGAGCGACAUGGGAACCUGCUGUGUCUGUAUUCCUCGGUGAACAUCAAAGACGUUUCAAGGAUCGAAAGCCCAAUUAUAAGAAAUGGAGAGCCAUCCAAAGACACAUACAAGGGCACAAUCAGUACACCAGAGCAGAGACUAUGGAACCAGACAACAAAUGGGUCUUGACUGCCUGUCACUGCUUGAGUCAACUAAUCAGAGACAAAGUUGAAUUCUAUAUGAGUUUAUUUGAAUAUUGCUGGCAGUAUAAAAGAGUAGCCACAUCAUCAUGCAAAAAUCUCUACACUUCUUCUGUCACUUAUAUUGAGUAUUACAUAAAAAAGUGGGCAAAGGGAAUAUCAAUGGGUAGUAAAUUUAGAGAUUAAUGGCAAGGAGAAGUA